rnacentral:rRNA from 1 species
GGACUACUCGGGUAUCUAAUCCUGUUUGAUCCCCACGCUUUCGCGCCUCAGCGUCAGUAUCCGUCCAGAGAGCCGCCUUCGCCACCGGUGUUCCUCCUGAUAUCUACGCAUUUCACCGCUACACCAGGAAUUCCACUCUCCUCUCCGGUACUCAAGUCUGCCAGUUUCCAGCGCAGUUCCCCAGUUGAGCCAGGGGAUUUCACACCGAACUUAGCAGACCGCCUACGCGCCCUUUACGCCCAGUAAUUCCGAACAACGCUAGCACCCUCUGUCUUACCGCGGCGGCUGGCAC